UCUUCAGUAGCUCAGAGGUAGAGCAAAUGGCUGUUAACCAUUGGGUCGUUGGUUCAAUUCCAACCUGGGGAG
rnacentral:tRNA from 1 species